rnacentral:rRNA from 1 species
UGGGGAAUCUUGCACAAUGGGGGAAACCCUGAUGCAGCGACGCCGCGUGGGCGAUGAAGGUUUUCGAAUCGUAAAGCUCUGUCCUAUGGGAAGAUAAUGACGGUACCAUGGGAGGAAGCCCCGGCUAACUACGUGCCAGCAGCCGCGGUAAUACGUAGGGGGCGAGCGUUGUCCGGAAUUACUGGGCGUAAAGGGUUCGCAGGCGGCAUGGCAAGUCCGAUGUAAAAGGCGAAGGCUCAACCUUCGUAAGCAUCGGAAACUGUCAAGCUUGAGUGAAGGAGAGGCAAGUGGAAUUCCUAGUGUAGCGGUGGAAUGCGUAGAUAUUAGGAGGAAUACCGGUGGCGAAGGCGACUUGCUGGACUUCAACUGACGCUGAGGAACGAAAGCGUGGGUAGCAAACAGG